AGCUCACUGGUCGAGUGACGCUGCGCCGAAAAUGUAUCGGGGCUAAACGAUUCACCGAAGCUGUGGAUUGACAUCUACGAUGUCAGUGGUAGGAGAGCGUUCUAAGUGCGUUGAAGUCAGAUCGGAAGGACUGGUGGAGCGCUUAGAAGUGAGAAUGCCGGUAUGAGUAGCGAAAGACGGGGGAGAAUCCCGUCCACCGUAUGACUAAGGUUUCCUGAGGAAGGCUCGUCCGCUCAGGGUUAGUCGGGACCUAAGCCGAGGCCGAUAGGCGUAGGCGAUGGACAACAGGUUGAUAUUCCUGUACCACC
rnacentral:rRNA from 1 species